rnacentral:rRNA from 1 species
UACGAAGGGGGCUAGCGUUGCUCGGAAUUACUGGGCGUAAAGCGCGCGUAGGCGGUCUUUUAAGUCGGGGGUGAAAUCCUGGAGCUCAACUCCAGAACUGCCUUCGAUACUGGAAGACUCGAGUCCGGGAGAGGUGAGUGGAACUGCGAGUGUAGAGGUGAAAUUCGUAGAUAUUCGCAAGAACACCAGUGGCGAAGGCGGCUCACUGGCCCGGUACUGACGCUGAGGUGCGAAAGCGUGGGGAGCAAACAGG